rnacentral:tRNA from 1 species
GGGGAUGUGACUCAGUGGUAGAGUGCUUGCCUACUAUGUAUGAGCCCCUGGGUUUGAUUCUCAGCACCA